CUCCUGUGUGAUAGGUGUGGACAAAGAUUUCACACUAUACAUGGAGUUCAGUGGUGCUAUUGACUAGCCGAUAAUUGAUGUGAAGAACUUUUGGAGAUGAAGAGGUGGAGAUUACUGGAGACGGCAAUAUCACAUAACUAGAUUUCUGCAUUAGCAUGCACAGAAUAACUACACAGAAGUUAUACAAGAUCCAUAUCGAGAAUGGUCCACAUGGCUCCAUUCCUUGUAUCAUGUUUAUAACUAAUAUAAAUGACUGGUUCCUUUUGUGAUAAGUAA